AGUAUCCUUAAACAGAAGGAAAACCAGGAAAUCAACAGAUCGUCGUUGCACAAGAUUAAAAGGCAAGUGGUGCACUCAGCUGUGCUGGAUGACCACGUUACAUGCAAUAGAGUUUCUUCCCUCAGGUCCUCUUCGGCUUUCACAUAUUUGAAGACUUAUUUAGAGAAGAGGAGCACUAACUGGAAAAUCCUCCUCCUCAAACCUCAUCCUAUCAAUAGAGACAUUAUACCAGGCAACAAACGAUUUGCAGAAAUUUUCCAGGCUGAGAUUUUCAGAACAGCUUCAUGGCCUUCCUAGAGGAAUAAGUCACCUAUACCUCUUGAAGCAAUGGCAAACGACUACUCCAGGCAUUUAUUUUUCCGUCAUAUUUUGAAGACUGGUGUCUCUAACUCCCCUGCAAACUCUGUGCACAACACUACUAUCCCCUCGCUGUGCCAUCACACACGCAGAUGAGUAAGACCUUACUAAGAAAGGGAAACAGUGUUUAUUCAGACUCUCUGCCUUUUUUGAUGAAUUCCUAGAAGUUCAAAACCCAUUUCCUCAACAACAGAGAGCUUCAAUCCACAUCGCACGGCUGCUGUCUGGAAAAACAGGGGAAAAUGGACACUCUAAGUAUGUCCAGGGCAAGAACCCUGAUUCAUACUAAGAACAUUAAAUGUUUUCUCACCAAGAAACAGAAGUGGGCAGAGUCAACUUCUUCCCCUCUUUUUGUUGUCAUUAAAUGCAAAUAGAAAUUGCCUUCCUAUAUGCAAAGCACUGCCUUCUCCUACCACACCCACAGCCUGUUUGCUAUGACUAUUGUCCUUAAAGGAUUCAGUUAACCGAUGUUUGUCUGUAUUAGUCAUCUGAAACGAAUGCAAAUAAAGAUAAAAAUCCACGAUCCUCCAAUUUUCACUGAAUCAAUAUUGAGCUCAUCCCAACCCUCCCGCUCUCAUGUGUCAUCCCUUCAGCACCUUUGAGAAAGAGGGCAUUCAAAAAUGCAGGUAUUAGUGCCGGCAGGACCCCGCCACUGGACAUAUAGAGCAAUUGAAGUGUGUGCUUGCAAUACCCAGUUAAAUAAACAGAGAGCAUGUGGAGUCCGUAGCAGCUGAAUACAAAGAAACAAGAGCACCAUAAGGCAACACAGGAAGAGUCAACAAAGCUUUGUCCCUUGGCUUAUUUUCAGGUAACAAGGAAAAAGCUUAUCUCAGCUUGAUACGCUGAGGUUUCCCACCCAUCAACAUGCUUUCCCAAUAACGUCUUGCAAGCCUUUCCUGCCUCAUUUUAUAAUAUCUUUUAACGAUAUCUUUCUCCUUCGACAAAAUCAAUCGACUUGUCCCUAUAAGUCACUGCCUGAGGUCCAGAUUUGAGG